GAUUAUUUUUUAAUGUAUGCGACGAAAAAGAAUGUCUACUCAAUGCAUUCUUCUUGUGUUUUGCUUGUGUCUGUCAUAGUUCAACACAGUCUCAAUACCAUUUAUUAGUAUGUUGAUAAGAACACGUAACAUAAAAUAGUGCGCACGAAACGUUAAUUGCGUAGAAGGUUCGCAUUCAAACAAGAAGUGUGUGCAAUAAUAAAGGACUAACCAAGGGACUAGGCAGAAUUUUCAGCAUGACUGAACACUACAUGACAUGGAAAAGUGAAUUUGAUCACUGGAUUGUUUUGUGGACAAGUGCCGCAGAUCACUUAAGGGAACUUGAGGACGAGACAGAAACUCAUCACGUUUUAAAUGUUCUCGUUGACAUGGCUGUGAGAGCUCGUACCACACAAGACUGGGUAGAAUGCUGGGAAUAUUUUAAAAACAAAAUCCAUCGCUUCUGCGUGAGUUACGAUCAGGCAAAUGCCGGGUAUUUGGAGAAAAUCAUUAACUGCAUUGACGGAUUUACCCCAAUGCCACAACAUCUGACGGAGUUACUCAAACACAGAGUUGAAUUCUGGCGUCCGAUUCUCCUAAGUACUGCAGUGUCGGAUCUAGAAGGGGUCAUCCAGGCAAGGAUUGGACAGAUCUUUUUCAUUCGUCGAUAUUUUAGAGGUCAACUUGGCCGUCGCAGAGAAGCAAGAUGUACAUCAUGCCCUCCCCGGAAUAAUAACCACACUUAUUAGAAAACCACUGUUGCACGGAAUAAUAAUGUUCAGUGCAUACGCAUAUUCAUUCAAAACUAUUAUUGGGCUACACAAGGAUUUAUGACAUGCAUAUUAUAUGUUCGUUAUGCACGUAUAUGGAUGCUUGUUUACACAGUCUUAAGGCUUAAAUAGGUAUAAACUGCUUAAUGUGUUGGAACAUUCGCAGUUUACAUUGUUUUUAGUUAAGGAUUUAUAUUGUAUUGAUGUUAUUAUCCGUGCAACAGUAGUUUCCUUAUACGUGUUCAAAUAGAUCACUCGAUGUUUGUAACACUAUUGAUUGCAUAGUGUGCUUGUGAAACAAUAUCUACUUUCAUGCUUUAAAAUGAGUUGUGUCAUUGCAUAUAUAUCUUUGGAAAAACUUUUUAUAAGUAUUUGAAUAUAAAUACUGUAAUCAUAGUACAUGUACGUAAUUAAAAUUGUUAAUGAACUGUUAACGGUAUAUGUUUUCAUAUGUAAAUGUGUAGAUGCAUUCAACUCAAGAUUAAUGACAUUUUAAAAAUAUCCAAACAAUUAAAUGUUCAAUUGUUUCUUUGUUUAAGCUUAUUUUCUUAAUCGCUAAAUCAUUGUAAAAUGUAGUCUAAAAUUGAAACUUGAAGCACAUCUCUCUGACCAUGUAUGUGACGUUUGGAGAAGUUGCACAACUGAUUAAACUGCAAAGCAUCUUCAUCCUCCAUACGAGUGUGAUUGACCAAAGGCAUUCAAAUGCCACACGACACGUUUACUUAUUGCGUGUUUGAAUACAUAUGGGUCUAUUAUAAUAACUUCCAGCAUCUGGAUUUCUUAUCAUGGUAGUUAAGUGUUUUGUGUCUUCAAAAUAUGUGUUAUUUUGCAUAAUAAUUAUCUUGAUGAUUAAAAGUUAAGAUUCUGCCUCAAUAUUUGUUUUUGUUUGGCGAUUUAUGUGUCAACAAAAGUAUUUGUUAACUAUAAUAGCAGAUAACACUUUAAUGCUCUAUUUGUUUGGACACAUAUGCGUCAGUUGACUACGUGACUGCGUCUUCAAGCAUGGCAUAUGGUUCAGAAUAUAUUUCAUGUAUACAAUGUUUAAUGUUUCACAAUAUGUACGUUAAAGUUAAUUUCGAGCGUUUGUAUCCUUAAACAGUUAUCCCUAUUGCAAAGGAAAUAAGUUUAUCUUAAGUGUUAACAUAUUAUAGGAAGAAAACAAACAUUAAACAAUGACUUUGUACGACGUUUUCUUAUGACAAGUACGAUCAGCAUUAACUUAACGUGAUAUUAUGGGUAUUUUUCACUGUUAAAUUGAGCUGAAAAGAAUUAACAGGUUAAAAUAGUUAGUUAAAUUGUGGCAACUGACCGAUUAUCUACAACUCAUCUUGCUACCAGUUGUUUAUAAAAACAAUAUAUUAUAUUUGAUAUUUUACAUGACUCACCCAGUUUUCUAAAUGAUCCGUAAAACAAAAUUGUGCCUUUGUGUCCUAUGAACGAAUCUGCAUGAAAACUACAUUUAGACUCACGUCGUACAUCGAAUCAUUUCUGUCGUCAGUUGUCAAAACGAAAGUACGGUUGAUAUUCAAAUGCAUUAUUUUUCUAUUUCCGGGAUAUGGUUUUAGAAUUUGGAUGCUGCAUUAACAACUAUAAGUGUAUAUGAAGUGAAAACACCAAAAAUAAACAAGGGUUGCGAUAGACACCUAUAAACAUAGCAUAUACUGUUAGAUGCCCAUAAUAUCACUGUAACGAUGUUAUAAUGCAUUCUCCAUCCAUCCAAUGCAAUUUGAACUUUGUGAAAUGUGAAUGUCAGUGAUUUAUAAACAUGUUUUCCCGUGUGACGGUAGUUAGUAUAUUAUUUGCACUAUAUUUAUUUUCCACACUUUAUCUCAAAAUGCGAUGCUACCAUGUACAGAAAUAAAAAUGCAACGUAAA